CACGUACCGUACGAACGUUAUUCGGAAUUAUUGGGCUUAAAGGGUGCGUAGGCGGCGUCGUAAGUCGGGUGUGAAAUCCCUCAGCUCAACUGAGGAACUGCGCCCGAAACUGCGACGCUUGAGGGAGACAGGGGUGAGCGGAACUGAUGGUGGAGCGGUGAAAUGCGUUGAUAUCCUCAGGAACACCGGUGGCGAAAGCGGCUCACUGGGUCUCUUCUGACGCUCAGGCACGAAAGCUAGGGUAGCGAACGGGAUUAGAAACCCUAGUAGUCC
rnacentral:rRNA from 1 species